GAACGGGUGAGUAACACGUGGGCAAUCUGCCCUUCACUCUGGGACAAGCCCUGGAAACGGGGUCUAAUACCGGAUACGACACGGGGUCGCAUGACCUCCGUGUGGAAAGCUCCGGCGGUGAAGGAUGAGCCCGCGGCCUAUCAGCUUGUUGGUGGGGUGAUGGCCUACCAAGGCGACGACGGGUAGCCGGCCUGAGAGGGCGACCGGCCACACUGGGACUGAGACACGGCCCAGACUCCUACGGGAGGCAGCAGUGGGGAAUAUUGCACAAUGGGCGAAAGCCUGAUGCAGCGACGCCGCGUGAGGGAUGACGGCCUUCGGGUUGUAAACCUCUUUCAGCAGGGAAGAAGCGAAAGUGACGGUACCUGCAGAAGAAGCGCCGGCUAACUACGUGCCAGCAGCCGCGGUAAUACGUAGGGCGCAAGCGUUGUCCGGAAUUAUUGGGCGUAAAGAGCUCGUAGGCGGCUUGUCACGUCGGAUGUGAAAGCCCGGGGCUUAACCCCGGGUCUGCAUUCGAUACGGGCAGGCUAGAGUUCGGUAGGGGAGAUCGGAAUUCCUGGUGUAGCGGUGAAAUGCGCAGAUAUCAGGAGGAACACCGGUGGCGAAGGCGGAUCUCUGGGCCGAUACUGACGCUGAGGAGCGAAA
rnacentral:rRNA from 18 species